rnacentral:rRNA from 1 species
GACAGAGGUCUCAAGCGUUGUUCGGAUUCAUUGGGCGUAAAGGGUGCGUAGGCGGCGCGGUAAGUCGGAUGUGAAAUCUCGGAGCUUAACUCCGAAACUGCAUUCGAUACUGCCGUGCUUGAGGACUGGAGAGGAGACUGGAAUUUACGGUGUAGCGGUGAAAUGCGUAGAUAUCGUAAGGAAGACCAGUGGCGAAGGCGGGUCUCUGGACAGUUCCUGACGCUGAGGCACGAAGGCCAGGGGAGCAUACGGG